CUCGACAAGCGGCGCCAUGCUCCAGAUACCUGAAAAUAUAAAUAAUGUUUAGAAUUGAGAUAAAUUCUAACGAAACCUUCAAAAUUUCUGACCUAUUUACCAAGUACCCACAUGCCAGACUUUUAAGAAAGCACCACAUAAGUUCUUAUCAAAGUAGAUGGCAUUAAAUAGGUAUUUAACCGGUAGCCGGACAAAUGGAGAGCGCUGACGGCUUUUACCAGGAAAAGUUCACCAGUCGACACAAAAAUGGCUGCGAGUUGUCUUGUGAUGCCCCCCUGUCAUGGAGGAUAGGCUGCAUUUUACAUAAUAUAGUUGAGACUGGAAGCGGCAUUGGCCACGACAUCCCCGAGCGUAGCGGGCGGCAGCGCGUCGCUGCGCAGCACGAGCGCGCACGCGCAUACCAGCACCGCACGCCACCAUCGCACGCGCAUC